rnacentral:rRNA from 1 species
CACGUAGGCGGUGAAUCGGGUUGAAAGUGAAAGUCGCCAAAAAGUGGCGGAAUGCUCUCGAAACCAAUUCACUUGAGUGAGACAGAGGAGAGUGGAAUUUCGUGUGUAGGGGUGAAAUCCGUGGAUCUACGAAGGAACGCCAAAAGCGAAGGCAGCUCUCUGGGUCCCUACCGACGCUGGGGUGCGAAAGCAUGGGGAGCGAACA